rnacentral:lncRNA from 1 species
GGAAAAUAUUUUGUAACCAGAUGCUCCGCAGGGCGUAGCUUUAUACGACCGCAGAGGUUGAACCCUGAACGGUUGGGGCAAGUAUGGACACAACAUUCAAGCUGGAUUCAGCUCUAAAUUUGGAUUGUGAUUAAAUAGUUGACACAGGAUAGGUUUCUGACACAGAAUGAAUGUGUUCUAAUGAACUUAAAAUUUUUGUUUUCUCUUAGAGCAAUUCACUAUGCUGUUGAAU